AGCCAAAGGUGGUUUCAUUUAUCUGCAUUUGCACCUGCACCUCUUCGAUCCUAGAUUAAUGGUUUCUGCCAAGUACUACUGGAAUGCAGAAGAUCAAUAGGUGCAGGUGUAAGUGCAGACGAAUGCCUUCUUGGUU
rnacentral:pre_miRNA from 1 species